rnacentral:misc_RNA from 1 species
GAUGAAGAACGCAGCGAAAUGCGAUACGUAAUGUGAAUUGCAAAUUCAGUGAAUCAUCGAGUCUUUGAACGCACAUUGCGCCCCCUGGCAUUCCGGGGGGCAUGCCUGUCCGAGCGUCAUUGCUGCCCUUCAAGCCCGGCUUGUGUGUUGGGUCGUCGUCCCCCCCGGGGGACGGGCCCGAAAGGCAGCGGCGGCACCGCGUCCGGCCCUCGAGCGUAUGGGGCUUUGUCACCCGCUCGAUUAGGGCCGGCCGGGCGCCAGCCGGCGUCUCCAACCUUCUAUUUUACCAGGUUGACCUCGGAUCAGGUAGGGAUACCCGCUGAACUUAAGCAUAUCAAUAAGCGGAGGA